CCUGUUGAUGCCGCUGCUGUUGAAGUCUAUGUGAAUGGCGCCCCCUGGUGGAAUGGAAAAGAGAAUGGGACGCCAGGAAUGUCAGAUGCUUUUCAGCCUCUCCCCUGCUCUUACGCCUAGAAACAGGAGCCCCACAAAGGUCUGUCAUUCCUCAGGGCUGACGAAAAGCCCUGUGGCUCAAUGGCCAGAAACAUGUCUUUGUGGCCAAGUAAGAAGUCUCUUGGUUUGACCUCUUUGGUGUAGAGACAGAUUCUUCUACCAGUGGUGUAAAACCCUAAAGAGGCUCUGCAUAAGACCUACCAAUGCCCUGUGUCUCAUGACACCCUGCCCCCACCACUGGAAGGCCACGCCAUCCUGCUUCUCUGUGAUCUGCA